AUCGAACGCUGGCGGCAGGCCUAACACAUGCAAGUCGAACGGUAACUUCAAGAAUCUUGCUUCUUUGCUGACUAGUGGCGGGCGGGUUAGUAAUGUCUGGGAAACUGCCUGAUGGAGGGGGAUAACUACUGGAAACGUUAGCUAAUACCGCAUAACGUCGCAAUACCAAAGAGGGGGACCUUCGGUCCCCUUUCCAUCGGAUGUGCCCCGAUGGGAUCAGCUAGUAGGUGGUGUAACGGCUCACCUAGGCGACGAUCCCUAGCUGGUCUGAGAGAGUGACUAGACAGAUGGGAUGAGAGGAAGGGCACAGACUCCGAGAGUGAGACGCAGUGGAGAAUAUUGCACGAGGGGGGAGAGCCGAAUGCAGGCAUGCCGGGUGAAUGAAGAAGCACUAAGGCUUGUAAAGUGAUUAAAGCGGGGAGGAAGGAAGGAAAUUUAAUACGUGUGCACAUUGACGUUACCGGCAGAAUAAGCACCGGCUAACUCCGUG
rnacentral:rRNA from 1 species